rnacentral:rRNA from 1 species
UACGUAGGCAGCGAGCGUUGUUCGGAGUUACUGGGCGUAAAGGGUGUGUAGGCGGCCUUCUAAGUUUGGUGUGAAAUCUCCCGGCUCAACCGGGAGGGUGCGCCGAAGACUGGGGGGCUAGAGUAUGGGAUGGGAAAGUGGAAUUCCUGGUGUAGCGGUGAAAUGCGUAGAUAUCAGGAGGAACACCUGUGGUGUAGACGGCUCUCUGGACAGUAACUGACGCUGAGACACGAAAGCGUGGGUAG